UACAGAGGUCUCAAGCGUUGUUCGGAUUUAUUGGGCGUAAAGGGUGCGUAGGCGGUGGGGUAAGUCGGGUGUGAAAUACCGCAGCUUAACUGCGGUCAGCACUCGAUACUGCCUCCCUAGAGCGCUAGAGAGGGGACUGGAAUUUACGGUGUAGCAGUGAAAUGCGUAGAUAUCGUAAGGAAGGCCAGUUGCGAAAGCGAGUCCCUGGAUAGUUGCUGACGCUGAGGCACGAAAGCUGGGGGAGCAAACGGG
rnacentral:rRNA from 1 species